rnacentral:rRNA from 1 species
AAAUUGAAGAGUUUGAUCAUGGCUCAGAUUGAACGCUGGCGGCAGGCCUAACACAUGCAAGUCGAACGGUAACAGGAAACAGCUUGCUGUUUCGCUGACGAGUGGCGGACGGGUGAGUAAUGUCUGGGAAACUGCCUGAUGGAGGGGGAUAACUACUGGAAACGGUAGCUAAUACCGCAUAAUGUCGCAAGACUAAAGAGGGGGACCUUCGGGCCUCUUGCCAUCGGAUGUGCCCAGAUGGGAUUAGCUAGUAGGU